rnacentral:tRNA from 1 species
UACCGCGUGGUGUAACGGUAACACAGCGCCCUUUGGAGGCGUUAUUCUAGGUUCGAAUCCUAGCGCGGUAGCCA